GACGUAGGGUGCGAGCGUUGUCCGGAUUUAUUGGGCGUAAAGAGCUCGUAGGCGGCUUGUUGCGUCGACUGUGAAAACCCGCGGCUUAACUGGGGAGGGUCACGCGAUACUGAUCGACUCGAAGGCAGGAGAGGGUAGUGGAAUUCCCGGUGUAGUGGUGAAAUGCGUAGAUAUCGGGAGGAACACCAGUGGCGAAGGCGACUACCUGGCCUGUUCUUGACGCUGAGGCGCGAAAGCUAGGGGAGCAAACGGGG
rnacentral:rRNA from 1 species